rnacentral:tRNA from 1 species
GCCGAUGUGGCUCAGUGGUAGAGCAAUUGAUUCGUAAUCAAUAGGUCGGCGGUUCGAAUCCGCCCAUCGGCUCCA